ACAAAAGAAUCCCUUGUCACUAAUGCUCAAUAUGGUGGGGGAGGGCAUGGCUUCUUCUUGUCACCGUGAUGUUUGGGAGGAUAGUUGUGAUGAUCAUCGUGUUUCGGAGGCUUGUUGUGGUGGUCGUCGUCAUGUUUCGGAGGCUUGUUGUAGUGGUCGUCGUCGUGCUUCGGGGGAUUUUUGUGGUGGUCGUCGUCGUGUUUUGGUGGAGGGCACGGCUUCUUCUUGUGAUGAUCGUCAUCGUGGUGUUUGGGAGGAUGCUUGUAAUCGUGAUCAUCAUGGCCGGGAGGAUUCUUCUUGUGAUGGGGAGGAGGAGAGUAU
rnacentral:lncRNA from 1 species